UAUGUGGCAUACGGCUCAGUAACACGUAGUCAACAUGCCCAGGGGACGUGGAUAACCUCGGGAAACUGAGGAUAAACCGCGAUAGGUCAUCACUUCUGGAAUGGGUAAUGACUUAAAUCUACAUGGCCCCUGGAUUGGACUGCGGCCGAUCAGGCUGUUGGUGAGGUAAUGGCCCACCAAACCUGUAACCGGUACGGGCUCUGAGAGGAGGAGCCCGGAGAUGGGCACUGAGACAAGGGCCCAGGCCCUAUGGGGCGCAGCAGGCGCGAAACCUCUGCAAUAGGCGAAAGCUUGACAGGGUUACUCUGAGUGAUUUCCGUUAAGGAGAUCUUUUGGCACCUCUAAAAAUGGUGCAGAAUAAGGGGUGGGCAAGUCUGGUGUCAGCCGCCGCGGUAAUACCAGCACCCCGAGUGGUCGGGACGUUUAUUGGGCCUAAAGCAUCCGUAGCCGGUUCUACAAGUCUUCCGUUAAAUCCACCUGCUUAACAGAUGGGCUGCGGAAGAUACUAUAGAGCUAGGAGGCGGGAGAGGCAAGCGGUACUCGAUGGGUAGGGGUAAAAUCCGUUGAUCCAUUGAAGACCACCAGUGGCGAAGGCGGCUUGCCAGAACGCGCUCGACGGUGAGGGAUGAAAGCUGGGGGAGCAAACCGGAUUAGAUACCCGGGUAGUCCCAGCUGUAAACGAUGCA
rnacentral:rRNA from 1 species